rnacentral:rRNA from 1 species
UUGAACGCUGGCGGCAGGCCUAACACAUGCAAGUCGAACGGUAACAGGAAGCAGCUUGCUGCUUUGCUGACGAGUGGCGGACGGGUGAGUAAUGUCUGGGAAACUGCCCGAUGGAGGGGGAUAACUACUGGAAACGGUAGCUAAUACCGCAUAACGUCGCAAGACCCAAGAGGGGGACCUUAGGGCCUCUUGCCAUCGGAUGUGCCCAGAUGGGAUUAGCUAGUAGGUGGGGUAACGGCUCACCUAGGCGACGAUCCCUAACUGGUCUGAGAGGAUGACCAGCCACACUGGAACUGAGACACGGUCCAGACUCCUACGGGAGGCAGCAGUGGGGAAUAUUGCACAAUGGGCGCAAGCCUGAUGCAGCCAUGCCGCGUGUAUGAAGAAGGCCUUCGGGUUGUAAAGUACUUUCAGCGGGGAGGAAGGGAGUAAAGUUAAUACCUUUGCUCAUUGACGUUACCCGCAGAAGAAGCACCGGCUAACUCCGUG